rnacentral:lncRNA from 1 species
GGACAACCAUCACUGCAGGAUCUUACCACACUGCCUGGUACGUUUUUUUUUUUGCGGCACAAACUACACAGCCACCACAAGCAUGGGCCAUCUCAGUUUCCACUCCUCACCAUGUUGCCACAUCCACCGCCACAACCACCACAUCCACCACAACCCCCACAACCACCACUAUUUCCACUCUUCAUUGUGUCACCACACCCACUGUCACCAGAGUUUCCACUCCUCACCAUGUUGCCACAUCCACCGCCACAUCCACCGCCACAUCCACCACAACCACCACUAUUUCCACUCUUCAUUGUGUCACCACACCCACUGUCACCAGAGUUUCCACUCACCAUGUCCCCGCAUCCACUGCCACAACCACCACAACCACCACCACAGUUUCCACUCCUCACCAUGUCCCCGCAUCCACUGCCACAACCGCCACAACCGCCACCACAAUUUCCACUCCUCACUAUGCUUCCUUUAGCCACGUCCACAUUCAGCUCCAUGUUACCUUCUGAAGCAGCAGUCAGGCUGAUUUGCUCAGGUUCCUCAUGAAAGCCUUUGGCCUUUUCCACUAAACUAUCUACCUCCAGAUUUUCUCUGUUAGAAGUGAAGCCAUUAUAUCCUUCCUUCUUCAAAAUAUCAGAAAGUAUGAAGGCUGAUAUGAUUGCAGGUAACACCAACCAUGAUUCCUUUACCU